UGGGAGCACCCUUUGGGUGUGACUGCGUACCUUUUGUAUAAUGGGUCAGCGACUUAUAUUCUGUAGCAAGGUUAACCGAAUAGGGGAGCCGGAGGGAAACCGAGUCUUAACCGGGCGUUAAGUUGCAGGGUAUAGACCCGAAACCCGGUGAUCUAGCCAUGGGCAGGUUGAAGGUUGGGUAACACUAACUGGAGGACCGAACCGACUAAUGUUGAAAAAUUAGCGGAUGACCUGUGGCUGGGGGUGAAAGGCCAAUCAAACCGGGAGAUAGCUGGUUCUCCCCGAAAGCUAUUUAGGUAGCGCCUCGUGAAUUCAUCUCCGGGGGUAGAGCACUGUUUCGGCUAGGGGGCCAUCCCGGCUUACCAACCCGAUGCAAACUGCGAAUACCGGAGAAUGUUAUCACGGGAGACACACGGCGGGUGCUAACGUCCGUCGUGAAGAGGGAAACAACCCAGACCGCCAGCUAAGGUCCCAAAGUCAUGGUUAAGUGGGAAACGAUGUGGGAAGGCCCAGACAGCCAGGAUGUUGGCUUAGAAGCAGCCAUCAUUUAAAGAAAGCGUAAUAGCUCACUGGUCGAGUCGGCCUGCGCGGAAGAUGUAACGGGGCUAAACCAUGCACCGAAGCUGCGGCAGCGACACUGUGUGUUGUUGGGUAGGGGAGCGUUCUGUAAGCCUGUGAAGGUGUGUCGUGAGGCAUGCUGGAGGU
rnacentral:rRNA from 1 species